GUGGAUUAGAUACCCUGGUAGUCCACGCUGUAAACGAUGGAUGCUAGGUGUCGGGGCCUUGAGCUUCGGUGCCGCAGCUAACGCGUUAAGCAUCCCGCCUGGGGAGUACGGUCGCAAGGCUGAAACUCAAAGAAAUUGACGGGGGCCCGCACAAGCGGUGGAGUAUGUGGUUUAAUUCGAUGCAACGCGAAGAACCUUACCCAGGCUUGACAUCCGGGAAACCCUCCCGAAAAGGAGGGGUGCUCUUCGGAGAAUCCCGAGACAGGUGCUGCAUGGUUGUCGCCAGCU
rnacentral:rRNA from 1 species